GCAGGCUUAACACAUGCAAGUCGAGCGGAAACGAUGGUAGCUUGCUACCAGGCGUCGAGCGGCGGACGGGUGAGUAACACUUAGGAAUCUACCUAGUAGUGGGGGAUAGCACGGGGAAACUCGUAUUAAUACCGCAUACGACCUACGGGAGAAAGGGGGCAGUUUACUGCUCUCGCUAUUAGAUGAGCCUAAGUCGGAUUAGCUAGAUGGUGGGGUAAAGGCCUACCAUGGCGACGAUCUGUAGCUGGUCUGAGAGGAUGAUCAGCCACACCGGGACUGAGACACGGCCCGGACUCCUACGGGAGGCAGCAGUGGGGAAUAUUGGACAAUGGGGGAAACCCUGAUCCAGCCAUGCCGCGUGUGUGAAGAAGGCCUUUUGGUUGUAAAGCACUUUAAGCAGUGAAGAAGACCUAACGGUUAAUACCCGUUAGCGAUGACAUUAGCUGCAGAAUAAGCACCGGCUAACUCUGUGCCAGCAGCCGCGGUAAUACAGAGGGUGCAAGCGUUAAUCGGAAUUACUGGGCGUAAAGCGAGCGUAGGUGGCUUGAUAAGUCAGAUGUGAAAUCCCCGGGCUUAACCUGGGAACUGCAUCUGAAACUGUUAGGCUAGAGUAGGUGAGAGGGAAGUAGAAUUUCAGGUGUAGCGGUGAAAUGCGUAGAGAUCUGAAGGAAUACCGAUGGCGAAGGCAGCUUCCUGGCAUCAUACUGACACUGAGGCUCGAAAGCGUGGGUAGCAAACAGGAUUAGAUACCCUGGUAGUCCACGCCGUAAACGAUGUCUACUAGUCGUUGGGUCCCUUGAGGACUUAGUGACGCAGCUAACGCAAUAAGUAGACCGCCUGGGGAGUACGGCC
rnacentral:rRNA from 1 species